rnacentral:sRNA from 1 species
AGAUGGAGGGUUUCGCCGGCAUUCGUCGCCCCCGCCGACGUCUCCUUCCGGGGAGCGGGUCCAAGGCUCGCUCCCUCUGGCUACCUUCCAGCGGAAUACGCCCCCCUCCGUCGGAAGGGCCUAAGGGCGGUGAGGUCCCCCAGCUUCACCGCCCGCUUUU